rnacentral:rRNA from 1 species
GGGUCAGAGCUAUCCGUCUAUCCCGUCGCUGGUCUUGGGCCCAGGCGGGUGAAUCCCCUUGGAUGGGCGUGCGCCCGUUGGCCCCGCAUUACUUUGAAAAAAUUAGGGUGUUUCAGGCAGGCUGAAAAACGGGCUUGAAUAGUCUAACAUGGAAUAACAGUGAAUUUGAACUCCGGUUCCCUUCUCUGCUGGUCUACGGAACUCGUGAGCCAUGGCUAAGAGGGACAGACGGGGGCGGAAGUACUACGGCGUGAGAGGUGAAAUUCCAGGACCGCCGUAAGACUAACGAACGCGAAAGCAUUCGCCCAGAAUGUUUUCAUUAGUCAAGAACGAAAGUUGGUGUAGCGAAGAGGAUCAGAUACCCUCCUAGUACUGACCGUAAACGAUGCCAACAGGAGGCCGGCGGAAGUAACUUGCAUUGUGGGACUUGGCACCGUCGGAACCCCACGGGAAACCCGAGUAUUUGGGUUCUGGGGGUAGUAUGGUUGCAAAGCUGAAACUUAAAGGUAUUGACGGAAGGCACCACAAGGAGUGGAGCUUGCGGCUUAAUUUGACUCAACGCGGGGCAACUCACCCGGUCCGGACACCGCGGGGAUUGACAGAUUGAUAGCUCUUUCUUGAUUCGGUGGGUGGUGGUGCAUGGCCGUUCUUAGUACGUGGUGCAAACUGUCAGGUUAAAUCCGCUAACGUACGCGACUCUAGCCUAUUUACUAGAGCUGGACGAUGAUAAUAAGUCGCCGAUGCGAGGAACUUCUUAGGGGGAUCCAUUGCGUGGGAGAAGCGGAUGAAAAAGAGCAAUAACAGGUCUGUGAUGCCCUUAGAUGUUCGGGGCCGCACGCGCGCUACACUGAAAAGGAAAGAGGGUGUCCGAGUACGAGCCGGGCGCGCGAGUUGCCCUAGAGAAAUCUUAGAAACCUUAUCGUGCUAGGGAUUAGGGUUUGAAACUGUUGCCUAUCAACGAGGAAUUCCAAGUAAGUGCGAGUCACUAGCUUGCGUUGAUCAAGUCCCUGCCCUUUGUACACACCGCCCGUCGCUACCACUGAGCUAGCGGCUUAGCAAGGGCGUCGAGACGCGUCCUGGGGGCUAUAGGCGUGGUAACGGCGGCCUCGGCUGUCCGUCCACUUAGCCGGCCUCAUGUGGGCGUGAAAGGCGUUCAAACUCGGCUGCUUCUAGGAGGUAAA